GAGGGAAAGGCGAAAAGAACCCCGGCGAGGGGAGUGAAAAAGAACCUGAAACCGUGUACGUACAAGCAGUAGGAGCCCCAUCACUCAAGUGCCUCGCACUGAGUGAUGCAAGAACAUCACCGAAAAUAGCGCCGAAUUUGCUAACAAGGUUGGUCGAUUUUUUCAAGCCGUCGCGCAGUGUACCUAGAAGUACACGAGCAACGGAAGUUAAAAAAUCGGGCAAGAUUGAACGCAAAGGAAAGCGGGACAUUUGAGGAUGGGGUGACUGCGUACCUUUUGUAUAAUGGGUCAGCGACUUAUAUUCUGUAGCAAGGUUAACCG
rnacentral:rRNA from 1 species